rnacentral:lncRNA from 1 species
CCCUCACCUUGAUGGCUAUGCUUCUUUUGGUGCUAAUAAAGAAUACAGCUGACUUUUAGCUCUGUGAGCACACAUUACUGACUCGUGUUCACUUCUUUGUUUGAGCAUUUUCUUAGGAGUGAAAUCUACUCAUGUCCUACUUCAAUAGGAAACAUACAGAAUGAUAUGACUCCAUAUUCUUACAGCUACUACAAUAUAAAGUUACAAAUAAUGUGAUGGAAGCAAUGUGUCUGUGAGCAAGGCUUUUGUGAGGGCACGCUCAGAGUUGCAAACACAGCUCUUUCACAGCCAGAUUGAUUGGUGUGUGCAUAUUUCCUACAUGAAUACAAAGCAAGAUCAACUUGUGUUGUGUUCCAGUACCUCAGGAGAUUAAAAGUUACUACUGCCAGAUAAUCAGGUAAG